rnacentral:rRNA from 1 species
AGUAGACAUAUGCUUGUCUGAAAGAUUAAACUGUGCAUGUGUAAGUAUGAACUNNNNNNNNNNNNNAAACUGAGAAUGGCUCAUUAAAUCAGUUAUAGUUUAUUUGAUGGUACCUGCUACUCAGGUAACUGUAGUAAUUCUAGAGUGAAUCCGUGCAACAAAUCCCGACUUCUGGAAGGGGCGCAUUUAUUAGAUAAAAGGUCAACGCGAGCUUUGCCGGUUGCUCUGAUGAUUCAUGAUAACUCGACGGAUCGCACAGCCCUUACGCCGGGGAUGCAUCAUUCAAAUUUAUGCCCUAUUAACUUUCGAUGGUAGGAUAGUAGCCUACCAUGGUGGUGACUUGUGAUGGAGAAUUAAGGUUCGAUUUUCAGAGAAGGAGCCUGAGAAACGGCUACAACAUCCAAGGAAGGCAGCAGGCUUGCAAAUUACCCAAUUUUGGCACGGGGAGGUAGUGACAAUAAAUAACAAUACCGGGCUCUUCGAGUCUGGCAAUUGGAAUAAGUACAAUCUAAAUCCCUUAAUGAGGAUCCAUGGGAUGGCAAGUCUUGUGCCAGCAGCCGCGGUAAUCCUAGCUCAAUAGCGUAUAUUUAAGUUGUUGCAGUUAAAAAUCUCGUAGUUGGACCUUGGGGUGGGCCGACUGGUCCGUGUUGUGGUGUGCGCCAGUCAUCCUCCUCCUUCUGCCAGCAAUGCGUGCGAUCGACGCGGUUACUUUGAAGAAAUUAGAGUGCUCAAAGUAGGCCUAUGCUCUGGAUACAUUAGUUUGGGUUAACAUCAUAGGAUUCCGAUCCUAUUAUGUUAGCCUUCAGGAUUGGAGUAACGAUUAACAGAGAGAGUUGGGGGCAUUCGUAUUUCAUAGUCAGAGGUGAAAUUCUUGGAUUUAUGAAAGAUGAACAACUGUGAAAGCAUUUGCGAAGGAUGUUUUCUUUAAUCAAGAAUGAAAGUUGGGUGCUCGACGACGAUCAGAUACCAUCCUAGUCUUAACCAUAAACAAUGACGACCAGGGAUCAGCGGAUGUUGCUUUUAGCACGUCAUCGACACCUUAUGAGAAAUCAAAGCUUUUGGGUUCCGUGGAGGGUAUGGUCACAAGGUUUAAACUUAAAGGAAUUGACGGAAGGGCACCACCAGGAGUGGAGCCUAUGGCUUAAUUUAACUUAAGAUGGGGAAACUUACCAGGUUCAAACAUAGUAAUGAUUGACAGACUGAGAGCUCUUUCUUGAUUCUAUGGAUGGUUGUGCAUGGUCAUUCUUAAUUGGUGGAGCGAUUUAUCUACUUAAAUUCAUUAACGAACAAGACCUCAGCCUGCUAACUAGCUAUAUGGAGGUAACACUUCACAGCUAGCUUCUUAGGGGGACUAUGACCUUCCAAGCCACAGACGUUUGAGGCAAUAAUAGGUCUGUAAUCCCCUUAGAUGCUCUGGGCCGCAUGCGCGCUACACUGAUGUAUUUAACGAGUCUAUAGCCUUCGCCGAUAGGCUCGAGUAAUCUUUGAAAUUUCAUUGCGAUGGGAUAGAUCAUUACAAUUAUUGGUCUUCAAUGACGAAUUCCUAGUAAGCGCGAGUCAUCAGCUCAUGUUAACUACAUCCCUAGCCUUUAUACACACCGCUCGUCGCUCCUAUCGAUUGAAAAGUUCGGUGAAGUGUUCGGAUUACGGUAACGUGGGCGGUUCGCCACCGACGAUGUCACGAGAAGUCCCCUGAAUCUUAUCAUUUAAAGGAAGGAGAAGUCGUAAUAAGGUUUCUGUAGGUGAACCCGCGGAAA